CAUGGUUUUAGGCAGAUCAGCCUUCCUGGAGGGAAGACCUUUUGCUUGAUGGUCCCAAUUGUAUAAGUGAGUCGCUUUACUGGCCUCAGAACCAGCCAAUGCCUUGAGACAGACACUAUUAGAGAUGACAACUCAGUCUGACCCAGUAGCCUACACAAACAGGAGGCUGUGCUUAAAGCUGAUUGCUGAAAUUCUGCAAAUGAAAUCCAAAGUAAAAAAACAACAAAAACAAUUUUAAUUUGGACUCCUACCUGUGGAAGUGCACAUCUAAAGGGCAAGCAUUUUCAAAAGAACUGAGAUCUAUCAGUGGCAUAAUUUAUCUUUGUCAGCUGUCAGUGGACAUGGCCUUUAUUUGAAAGCAAUUUAAUUAAUGAUAUCAAUGCCCUUGAACUUCUUCACUGAUGAAAUAAAGGAAUCCAUAUAUCCUAA